CCUAGUAACGGCGAAGUGAAGAGGGAGGAGCCCACGAUUGGAAGCUGGCGCCRUGUUCUGGCGUUCCGCAUUGUAAUCUCAAGAAGCGCUGAUCCGCCUCGGACCAGGUCGAAGUGUCUUGGAAAAGAACAUCAUGGAGGGUGAGAAUCCCGUGUGUGACCUGGAGCCACCGAAGGUACUGCGAUGCGUUUUUUCUCAGAGUCGAGUUGUUUGGGAAUGCAGCUCAAAAUGGGUGGUAAAUGCCAUCUAAGGCUAAAUAUAGGGGAGAGACCGAUAGCAAACAAGUACCGUGAGGGAAAGAUGCAAAGAACUUUGGAAAGAGAGUUAAACAGUAUGUGAAAUUGCCAGAAGGGAAGGGUAGGCAGUCAGAGAUGCGGAGGCGUAGCUCCGCCGGGUAUCUGUCGUGGGUACCUGGUCUAGGCUACGGCCUCGGCAGGCCAAUGUCGGUUCUGUGGCGCGGGAAAUCGGAGGCUGGGAAUGUGGCAUUUCUUCGGAGGUGUGUUUAUAGACCGGCUCUUGCGGACCAGCGCGUGGGACUGAGGACGAGCGGCAUGGGGCGGCUUUUGUGUUCCUCCACUUCGUGGUGGGGGGGGCGGGAGCUGUUUUAGGUUCCUUUUUCACGAGGGGGCACUAUUCAUGC
rnacentral:rRNA from 1 species